CGGGGCGUGGCGCAGCUUGGCAGCGCGCUUGACUGGGGGUCAAGAGGUCGGAGGUUCAAAUCCUCUCGCCCCGA
rnacentral:tRNA from 1 species